rnacentral:tRNA from 1 species
UGGCUCAGUGUUUAAGAGCACUGGCUGCUCUUCCAGAGGGCCUGGGUUCAAUUCCCAG